AAAUAAAUGUCCACAGUUGACAAAGUGUAUAUUUGAAAAGUGUUUUCAUUGCAGAAAAAAUGUAGAAUCAUUUCAUGAUAAACUUUGACUAAAUGUAUAAAACAAAUUAUCAAAAAAAAACUUGACUAAACAUAUCUUUGCUAUUACCUGAACUAUACGUACAUCUAGUUGAAAUAUUCGGAACUCACGACUGGAUAAGUAUAUACACACUUGGACUUGGAGAGUCCUUUACUAUCUAAGGAAAUGCGAGAGAAUGGUGCAGAAUGAGAGACAAAUCACAUCCAAAGAAACACACCAAACCCCAUCAAA
rnacentral:lncRNA from 1 species